UGUAUAAUGGGUCAGCGACUUAUAUUCAGUAGCAAGGUUAACCGUAUAGGGGAGCCGUAGAGAAAUCGAGUCUUAAUAGGGCGUUUAGUUGCUGGGUAUAGACCCGAAACCAGGCGAUCUAUCCAUGAGCAGGUUGAAGGUUGGGUAACACUAACUGGAGGACCGAACCCACUGUCGUUGAAAAGCCAGGGGAUGACUUGUGGAUAGGGGUGAAAGGCUAAUCAAGCCUGGUGAUAGCUGGUUCUCCCCGAAAGCUAUUUAGGUAGCGCCUCGGACGAAUACCAUAGGGGGUAGAGCACUGUUUCGGCUAGGGGGUCAUCCCGACUUACCAAACCGAUGCAAACUCCGAAUACCUAUGAGUACUAUCCGGGAGACAGACUGCGGGUGCUAACGUCCGUAGUCAAGAGGAAAACAAUCCAGACCGCCAGCUAAGGCCCCAAAAUCAUAGUUAAGUGGGAAACGAUGUGGGAAGGCAUAGACAGCUAGGAGGUUGGCUUAGAAGCAGCCACCCUUUAAAGAAAGCGUAAUAGCUCACUAGUCGAGUCGGCCUGCGCGGAAGAUGUAACGGGGCUAAAACUAUGUGCCGAAGCUGCGGAUUUGACAUUAGUCAAGUGGUAGGGGAGCGUUCUGUAAGCCGAUGAAGGUGUAUUGAGAAGUAUGCUGGAGGUAUCAGAAGUGCGAAUGCUGACGUGAGUAACGACAAAACGGGUGAAAAACCCGUUCGCCGAAAGACCAAGGGUUCCAGUCCAACGUUAAUCGGGGCUGGGUGAGUCGACCCCUAAGGCGAGGCCGAAAGGCGUAGUCGAUGGGAAAAUGGUUAAUAUUCCAUUACUUCUGUGUAAUGCGAUGAGAGGACGGAGAAGGCUAAAUCAGCCUGGCGUUGGUUGUCCAGGUGAAAGGAUGUAGGCAUGUAUCUUAGGCAAAUCCGGGGUACUCUAUGCUGAGAUCUGAUAGCAAGCUGUACUUGUACAGCGAAGUGGUUGAUGCCAUGCUUCCAGGAAAAGUCUCUAAGCUUCAGUUACACAGGAAUCGUACCCGAAACCGACACAGGUGGUCAGGUCGAGUAGACCAAGGCGCUUGAGAGAACUCUGCUGAAGGAACUAGGCAAAAUGGUACCGUAACUUCGGGAGAAGGUACGCUGUUGUUGGUGAUGGAACUCGCUUCCUGAGCUGACGACAGCCGCAGAAACCAGGCCGCUGCAACUGUUUAUUAAAAACAUAGCACUCUGCAAACACGAAAGUGGACGUAUAGGGUGUGAUGCCUGCCCGGUGCUGGAAGGUUAAUUGAUGGGGUUAGCGUAAGCGAAGCUCUUGAUCGAAGCCCCAGUAAACGGCGGCCGUAACUAUAACGGUCCUAAGGUAGCGAAAUUCCUUGUCGGGUAAGUUCCGACCUGCACGAAUGGCAUAAUGAUGGCGGCGCUGUCUCCAGCAGAGGCUCAGUGAAAUCGAAAUCGCUGUGAAGAUGCAGUGUACCCGCGGCUAGACGGAAAGACCCCGUGAACCUUUACUGCAGCUUGACACUGAACUUUGACCUUACUUGUGUAGGAUAGGUGGGAGGCUUUGAAGCUGGAACGCUAGUUCCAGUGGAGCCGUCCUUGAAAUACCACCCUGGUAAUGUUGAGGUUCUAACUCUGUCCCGUGAUCCGGGACGAGGACCGUGUCUGGUGGGUAGUUUGACUGGGGCGGUCUCCUCCUAAAGAGUAACGGAGGAGUACGAAGGUGCGCUCAGCGUGGUCGGAAAUCACGCGUAGAGUAUAAAGGCAAAAGCGCGCUUAACUGCGAGACCCACAAGUCGAGCAGGUACGAAAGUAGGUCUUAGUGAUCCGGUGGUUCUGUAUGGAAGGGCCAUCGCUCAACGGAUAAAAGGUACUCUGGGGAUAACAGGCUGAUACCGCCCAAGAGUUCAUAUCGACGGCGGUGUUUGGCACCUCGAUGUCGGCUCAUCUCAUCCUGGGGCUGAAGCAGGUCCCAAGGGUAUGGCUGUUCGCCAUUUAAAGAGGUACGCGAGCUGGGUUUAGAACGUCGUGAGACAGUUCGGUCCCUAUCUACCGUGGGCGCUGGAAAUUUGAGAGGAUCUGCUCCUAGUACGAGAGGACCAGAGUGGACGAACCUCUGGUGUACCGGUUGUGACGCCAGUCGCAUCGCCGGGUAGCUAUGUUCGGAAGGGAUAACCGCUGAAAGCAUCUAAGCGGGAAGCCUACCUCAAGAUAAGAUUUCCCUAGGACUUUAUGUCCUCUAAAGAGCCGUUCGAGACUAGGACGUUGAUAGGUUGGAUGUGGAAGCAUAGUGAUAUGUGAAGCUGACCAAUACUAAUUGCUCGUGAGGCUUGACUAUACAACACCCAAGCAGUUG
rnacentral:rRNA from 1 species